rnacentral:lncRNA from 10 species
ACACAACUCUAUGCUUUUUACCUUACAACUGCACAGGCCCCGCCCCCGCGGUCCCUCUGCAGACCCCGCCUCUCCCCGGGCUCCGCCCCAGGCUACCCGGGCUCUGCGCGCACGUGCAGUUUCUUGGAGUCCCGGAAGCGGAUCGCGGUGUGUGAAGGUGACACCGCCGAGCAAGAGUGUGCCUAGGUGUAGAUUAAGCCUUCGAUUCGCCGUCCCGCUUUUCCACACCCGCUCUGCUGACCUUAAAAUCCCCGCAUCGCGCCCUUCACCCGAGCUCCACCCGCUGGAAAAUGUGCUCCUCCAGGAUCCAGGUGUCUUACUCCAAACCCUCCUGUGAAUGUGUGGGCCAAAGGGAUCAGGAAACAGAGAGGGGCUGAGAGUGAAUUACAAAAACUGAGAGGAAAGAAUGAAGGAAACCCAUAAACACAUGGCAAAGUAGAGGAUGGGUCGGGAUUCGCAGAGACGGGAAGAGCGAAAGAAGGAUCCAGGCGCGGUGGCUCACGCCUGUAAUCCCAGCACUUUGGGAGGCCGAGGCGGGUGGAUCAUUUGAGGUCAGGAGUUCGAGACCAGCGUGCCCAACAUGGUGAAACCCCCGUCUCUACUAAAAAUUAGCCGGAUGUGGUGCUGCACGCCUGUAAUCUCAGCUACUCUGAGGGUGAGGCAGGCAAAUCGCUUGAUCCCGAGAGAGGGAGGUUGCAGUCAUCGGAGAUCGCGCCACUGCACUCCAGCCUGGGCGAGAGAGCAAGACUCCAC